rnacentral:ncRNA from 1 species
UGACCUCAGAUCAGGCAAGGCUACCCGCUGAAUUUAAGCAUAUUAAUAAGCGGAGGAAAAGAAACUAACAAGGAUUCCCCUAGUAAUGGCGAAUGAAGCGGGAACAGCUCAAAUUUAAAAUCUCCGUUGCUUGCAACGGCGAAUUGUAGUUUCGAGAAGCACUUUCUCGGCGGAUCCGAGGUCGUCCAAGUUGCUUGGAACAGCACGUCGUAGAGGGUGACAACCCCGUCUGCGGCGAUCUCGGCCGUUCACGAUGUAAAUUUAGAGGAUCGAGAAUUCACAUUUGAGAAGGUGGAGAAGUCGUAGUUAGCAACUGUUUCUUGGAUCUUGCAGGAGGAGAAUCGAGUCCGAUGUUUGCUUCGAAUCGGUUUCGGGGAUUGCGCUCGCUUGGGGAGCUUUUAUAUGCUUUCGCUAAAGUUGAUCCCAGAAGCUUAUAAAACUUUCAUAUGUCUUCCGUAAACUGUGGGUGCACUAUUAACGUUAAAAAAAGUGUCAUUAGCCGCGGUAAGUAGUUUCGGGAAAACGUCCCUCUUUCCCCUAAAAUUUGUGGAUGGUUCAUUUUUUGCAUUUCUUUCAAUAAUAUUGGCGCCAUCCUUCUCCCCUAAACAAUAUAUCCUGAUUAAGAAUACCCAGAUCUUUUAUCUACCGCGGAAUGUCUGGGAUUGCGUCUGAGCAGUAAUAUACAAUCCACAACACUGUCUCGUAUUUCAAGACGAUCGUUCUUCUAGUGACGAAGUUGGUCAAUUUGCAUUAGAACUUUGCUUAAAGCGAUGGUAAAUGAGAGGACUCGGGUAGGACAUAGACGUAUUAUUAUUGUAGUGUUUUUGGCAUACCAUGCUGUCAUUGUAC